AUUGGAGGGAGGCGGCCUGUAGCUAUAGGGAGCGGCUGCGGGAGCGCGGCGGGCCUUUCGGAAGAGCGGUGCCCGUCGCUUCUAUUUUGGGAGCAGGGCCCCGGGCAGCGACGAGGACUCGGCUGGAGCUUAACGAGCGGCCCGGGUUAGGGAUGGGGGAGAAAGCAUCACCAUUUUCGAGGAGGUUUUAUUUGUUUUAAUCCCCCGCCCCCCCCGACGUCUGUGCAUUUAGUACCUGCACCAAAUAUUAACCUACUGGGCGAAGAUUUGCUUCUCAAGGCCUCUGGGGCCUAUCCAGGGAGAACGUUGUUCAUUUCCUUGCUAUUUUUUUCAAAAUGUUAUCGGGUGUUAAAAAGUCCUAGAGUGCACUAUUGGAAAAGUACGACUUUAGGGGAAAAAAUGAAGCCCCUCCAUAGGAUUAAGAAGUAAGAGCAGGAUUCCCCCCCACACACACACAAACAUAAUUUCAAUUCUCCUCCAUGCCUUGCUCUGAGGGGGCAACAAAUUGAUUUAAUUCCUAUGAGGAAGACUUGCUUUUGUAUCACCAUAGCAGUAUGUUUCUCUGGGGGAAUCUAGCUGCAUGCCCCCAACAUGUUGGUCCCAAGAUUUGGGGAGACCUUCAUAGAUUUUUAUAUCUUCCCAAUGUGCUUUCAGUGAAAUGUAAACUGUGGCCAAGUAUAUAAUUCUGUAGAUUCAAUCUCACCUUCCCUUUCUUUUGAUAUUAUUACCCCCAGGCCUGAGGUUUAAUUGAAACUCAUAUAACUUAAUGAUGCAAAUGGGAAUUAGGCUUCUGUAAUUUUUUUAAACACAAGGUAGGUUCUGUAAAUUUUGAGAUGUGAAGAUAAUAAUUUGGAAGUGGAUUGUAUUUGCUGAAAUUCUUCCCUGCCUAUGAAGAGGCAAAAACUUUGCAUCCAAUUGUUUGUAUAGGUUUCAAUUCUUCCUGUGUCUUGAAAAUAACUAAUCUUAUCAUGUUAAAUGAUAAGAUUUUUGCCCUCAUCUUAACUUCUAGUAGAUAUAACAUGUUUACUGUGUUUCGUCAGAAUCAUAUAGAUUAAUUUUCAAUUUUUAUUGAUUUCAGUUCCUUGAUUAAAUUAACAUCAGUUACUAUUUUUAAUAUACUUGCUAAAGAUGCCCCCAAAUUGAAUUUGGCUCCUGAUAAUUGCAUCCAUGCAAUAAUUUUGACAAAAUUAUUUUUUAUUGCCUUCUGUUUGUGUAUGUCUGUGUGUGUGUGUGUGUGUGUGUGAGAGAGAGAGAGAGAGAGACAGACAGACAGACAUUUAUUCCCCAUUCUAGUCAUCAACGCUGAAAUUCCCAAUUGUCCUUCACCCAAAUAUAAUCAGGGCUGAGACUGUUUACCUCCUUAGAUUUAUCAUUUCCAAAAUGAAUAUAGUAAACCUAUUUAAGUAUUUUUUUUUUCAUAUAGGAGACCUGUAUCUAAAAGUUUUUAUAGUUAUCCUAUCUUCCCGGGACUUAAAAAGAGAACAGAAUAAAUAGAAUUGCUGGCUGUGGAAUUCUGGGAGUUGAAGUCCACAUGCCUUAAAAUUGUCAAGGUUUUGAAACACUGUGAUAGAAGAAGGAUGCUUCCAGGCCAUGUUUGUGUUAUAGUUUAGGUACCAGAAGGGAAAGGGUCUUGGUCAUUUAUUUGGGAGUAGGAAACUUCUCUGAUAAUUUCACUGAAUUUGUUUUCAUUGUAACGGAUCUGUAAAUUAUAGGUUGCCUACAUACAAACAAAUGAUGCUGUGAAAACUCCCACUGAUGGAAAAACCAAGGAUGUUGUUAGUGAAUUAUCUUACCUGCUGUUGAUCUAGCAGGUUUCUUUCUGCAGCAAGAUUUUUGUAGGAAAAAGAUAGAAUGAAAAACCACAAGGACAGUGAAUAUGAUCACUUUCCUUACUGUAUUAUAUCCCCUUCCUAUCAGAAUAUUCCAUGAGGAGAGAUACUCUCACAGGAAUUUAGGAUGCAAGGCUCCAUAUUCUGCCUGAGUAGGGAGGAGGUUUUCUGUGAUUUCUCUUUCAAAAAAUGAUCCAAUUCCUCCUUGUUUAAUGGGAAUUUCAGAAUUAAACUAUUUCUUUAAAGAUGAAAUAAGCAGUUAAUGUUUUUCCUCUUUGUUCACCAAAAAAUUGGGGAGAAUUCAAUUUGGCUCAUAGCUGUGCAGUGGGGAAAGUACUUUUAUUAUUUUACAUUAUAAUACAAUUGCAGUGUAGAUUGGCCCUUUUGCACCAGCAACAUACAUAAUCAAGAAAUGCUCUAUUGAAACAAACAGAUUAAUUUUGGACAAGACAAACUAAUUAGGAUCAUGGCUGUUUAAACAUUUAAAAUUUGCUUGCUAAGAUUCUAAUGUGGAUCUGUACCACCAUUCUUUUCACAUACACACACCCCCAUGUAGCUGCUAAUUAUGUUUUUGAAAUAUGUACUUUGAUGCUCAGAUACUCCAUCUUUAUUUAUUGGUUGUUAUACUUAAACAAUGAAUCAAACACAUAACUGUUUAUGCACUAACUGAGCAUACGUAUAGCAGAAUAUGGUAAAUUCAGAUCGGUUUUUUUAAAGCCAGGCUUGUAGGGAUUUCCUUCAGUUUGGAGAGAUAGCAUUUUUAUUUUAUUUUUUUAAUGCAAAGGCUUUGUUCUAACCAGAGUGGAAUUUCUUUUAAUUUUUGUUAGAGAAGUAAGACAAUUCCCUUGUUUAUAAUAGGAUUUUUGUUUAUUUGCAGCCAUUAGCUGAUUCAUUCUCUGACAAGUGUCCAAAUAAAUUUAUUUUUAGCUAAUGAUUAAAUGAUUAUUCUGUCCAGCCUACCAGAAAUUUGUAUAAAUACCUAGUUAUUUAGUUGUAUAAUCAGAAAUCAUAGAAGCAAAAUUUAAGCCAGUUCCAGCAGUUACCCCAUGAUUCCAUUUUCACAACACAGAUUUUGUGGAUAUUGAAUUAAUCAGGCACACUGGCUGGGGAAUUCUGGGAGUUGAAGUCCACAAGUCAAAAGGGCCAAGUUUGAAGACUCCUGGGUUAGACCAACUCUGACCCCUCCUGUAUCAAGACUAAAAGAACAACAAAGUUCACACAUUGUGCAAAUUUUUUUAAAUGUGUUAUAUCCAGCCUUUUCUCCAGGAUCUCAAAGUAGCACGCACAUACAUACAUACAUACAUACAUACAUACAUACAUACAUACAUACAUAAAAUAGCUUUUAGUUUGAUAUUAUCCUGGUGUUUGAAUUUAUUUUUUUUAUACAUACAUACAUACAUACAUACGUCAUUCUCUGUUUCAAUUUUUAGAUGUGCAUUAAAUUGAGCUGGAUAACUAGAUUCUGAGGUGAGAUUUAAAGGUGAAGGUGGAAGUUUAACCUGAUUUUCCCUAGUGCUAAUCUAACAUCUUAAUAUUUGUCCUAUACUGCAGCUAUUAUGUUUAUAACUAACCUGGUUAAGGUUAGUAUUUUACAAUGCAUAGUAUAAUGUAUUGUCGAAAUGCAGUUCUUAAUUACUAAUUAGUAUAGGUCCUUCAGUAGAUGUAAUGCUUCUCUGAUCCCCAUUUAUUCAAUUCACUGUAGUGCAUGAUCAUUUUUAUGAGAUCGUGUAACCCUUUUCAAAAUCAUCACUACACAUUUUUACUGUGUACAGAAGUUUUCAUUUUCUCUUUCCUGAAUUAGUUUCAUUGUAGACUGCAUGUUCAGCUACCACUAUAUUUGUGAGAGGAAAAGGUCUGCCUUUACCUUCCCAUAGUGUUCUCACUUUUCAUAAGUCUGGUAUCUACCAGGCUAAAUUGUACUCUCCUUGGAUUUGAAAAGAGGACAAUGUAUAAUAGCAGUUUCAGGAAGGGAGAAAAACUUUUGAGAUGUUCUUGUUUGAGGCCUUUUUUGUCAUGCAUUUAGCUGCCUAAAUUGUUUCACUGUUCAAACAAAGAACACAAAUAAAAAUGGUUCAUUAUUAGAAAAAUAAAGUUAAAGGGAGGUUUUAAAGGUUCCUGUCUGUUUUUGCUUAAUAUAAUAGUCAUAUAUUUGAAAGUACUCAAUAUUUGCCAGUUUUGAUUUCCCCAAAUAGCCAAAGUAGUGGUUAAAAUUUGAAUUAAUACCACAAGAAAUUUUAGGAUUAUACAAAGUAUUUCUUUAAUAUUUUUAAAUAUAGAAAACAUUUCCUGGGUACCAGGUGCCAUUAUAUAGACACACUCAUGUUUUUUUGCCUUAUUUCUAAAAUACUUCAGGCCUGAGGAUUUGCGCCGUGAAUUUGGUCGAUAUGGCCCUGUAGUAGACGUAUACAUUCCGCUUGACUUCUACACAAGACGCCCACGAGGAUUUGCUUAUAUACAAUAUCCUUUAUUUCAUUGUAUUGUUAUUGCGGUGCAUUGUUGUUAUUGCAUCCUAACUUAAUGUAUUUAUUUCUUUGUCUCAGAAAAUGUAAAGCAGUCCACAGUGGCUGGCAAGCACCCCAAAGUUUGAAUGAACCCGGUUAGAUAGAGUCCAAGCAGGCAAGCCAAAAGACACCUUAAAGUUCAAGCUUCAAGGAAUAAAGAGGGAGGGUGGAAAAAGAUAAAAAGAAAACUGGAAGAGGGGAAGUCCUUUUUCAAGGAAAAAGACAAAGCCACAACACCAAGUUAAGGCUUCGGCUUUCCGACAUUUGCACGAGUUCCAAAGUCAAAGCCAAGUCUGAUUUGGUUGGUUCCACGGCCCUUGUCAAGUCCAUCUAGCAAGCCCAAAAGAGUAACGGUCAAGAUCAAGUGACAUGGAGCCCCAGGUCAGAUGAAGUCAAAAGAACGUCGCCAGUGUUCUCCAAUGGAUUAUAGAAGAUCAAGAAGCCGCAGCCGAAGGAGGACACGUAGCCGAAGUUCAUCAUGGGGCUGGAGUAGAAGACACUCUGACAGCUUUAAAGAGCAUUCCAGCUCACCAAGACGAUCUGUCUCGCCUCAAAGGAAUUCUACCUCUAGAGGAAGAUCACGGUCAAAAUCAUUGCAGAGGUGUUCAAAAUAUGCUGAGAAGUCGCCAUCCGGCUCCCACCGAAGACGUUCU